GACGAACGCUGGCGGCGUGCCUAACACAUGCAAGUCGAGCGGAGAUACAUUGAAGAGCAAUCAGAUAUGUAUCUUAGCGGCGGACGGGUGAGUAACGCGUGGGCAACCUGCCUCAUACUGGGGGAUAACACAGGGAAACUUGUGCUAAUACCGCAUAAUAUCAUUAUAGGGCAUCCUGUGAUGAUCAAAGGAGCAAUCCGGUGUGAGAUGGGCCCGCGUCCAAUUAGCUAGUUGGUGGGGUAACGGCCCACCAAGGCGACGAUUGGUAGCCGAACUGAGAGGUUGAUCGGCCACAUUGGGACUGAGACACGGCCCAGACUCCUACGGGAGGCAGCAGUGGGGAAUAUUGCGCAAUGGGGGAAACCCUGACGCAGCAACGCCGCGUGAAGGAUGAAGGUCUUCGGAUUGUAAACUUCUUUGAUGAGGGACGAACACAAUGACGGUACCUCAAAACAAGCCACGGCUAACUACGUGCCAGCAGCCGAC
rnacentral:rRNA from 1 species